CACGUAGGGGGCGAGCGUUGUCCGGAUUCAUUGGGCGUAAAGGGCGCGCAGGCGGCCCGGAAAGUCGGAUGUGAAAACUCGAGGCUCAACCUCGAGCGUGCACCCGAUACUGCCGGGCUUGAGGCAGGUAGGGGAGAUCGGAAUUCCUGGUGUAGCGGUGAAAUGCGCAGAUAUCGGGAAGAACACCCGUGGCGAAGGCGGCUCUCUGGAACGCAACUGACGCUGAGACGCGAAAGCGUGGGGAGCAAACAGG
rnacentral:rRNA from 1 species